UAGUCAUAUGCUUGUCUCAAAGAUUAAGCCAUGCAUGUCUAAGUACAAGCCUCACUAAGGUGAAACCGCGAAUGGCUCAUUAAAUCACACCUAAUCUACUGGAUAGUUAACAGUUACUUGGAUAACUGCGGUAAUUCUGGAGCUAAUACAUGCACAAAGCCCCGAACUUACGUGAGGGGCGCUUUUAUUAGAUCAAAACCAAACGGCUUCGGCUGUAUCCUUGGUGACUCUGAAUAACUUUGGGCUGAUCGCAUGGCCUAGCGCCGGCGACAUAUCCUUCGAAGGUGUGCCCUAUCAACUGUCGACUGUGGCAUAGACGCCCACAGUGGUUUUGACGGGUAACGGGGAAUCAGGGUUCGAUUCCGGAGAGGGAGCCUUAAAAACGGCUACCACAUCUAAGGAAGGCAGCAGGCACGCAAAUUACCCAAUGACCGAAGGUCGAGGUAGUGACAAAAAAUAACGAUACGGGACUCAUCUGAGGCCCCGUAAUCGGAAUGAGUACACUUUAAAACCGUCCCCGAGGA
rnacentral:rRNA from 1 species